AGGCAUUUGAUCAAUCUGGCACCAGUGGAGUACUACUUAAGAGGGGCAGCAGCCAGUAGCAAUGUAGACUCCACUGUUGUAGCCCCUGUCUGUGCUACCGUCAGAUGGCCCCACUUGAUGUUCACAGCCAAGAUGAUAAUGAUAACAAUGGUCUUGAAGCUUCAAAUGAAGGCACUGUGUUGAUGGAUAUAAGAACGUCUCAUUGUCCACGUGGUGUGCUGUCACUUAAUCAGAUUACUCAUCUGGUGGUUCAAAAAAAUUCUGAAGACAAUGGAUUUACAGAGUGCUGUGGUGGUGCCAUCAUCUACAUAUAUGUGGUGAAGGAUUGUACUGGACGGAAGAUGUUCAGAGUGCUAGAGGAGGAAGACUGCUGUCUUCAGUACUACUGUACCUCUGGACGUUCCUUCACACUGCAUGUCCCAGAUAUCACUGGCCGUGAAGUCAUCACUCAGAUAAAACCAAAUGUCUGUAACUGGGACAGUUGAGGUGGAAGUCCAGUGGGCUCCAGGAAUUCCUAUAGGAUAUAUCAUAAGCACUUCUGCCACCCGGCCCAACCUGACACUUCAAAAUGAGAGGAAAGCCACUGCUGAAGAUAGCUGGAGAGUCAGGUCUGCCCAUGCAAUGCUGUGGCAGGUUCCAACUCUUGAUCACAUCACUGGAUGGAACCAUCAUAGGGACCAUAUCCCUUGUCGAAAACAAAAAUCAAUAUGAGCUGCAGUGUCAAAUUGCCAAACUGAAGGCGAUCAUACUAGGAGCCUGUGUUUUCAUUGUAAAUAACAUUUAAUGAAAAUAUGUAUUUUAGUCAGUAGCCUACAAAGCCGUAGUCAUAUCAACAUUGGGGGGACCAAAUCUGUGGUGGGUCUGGGGGACCAUCAAAUAUAAUUUCAAUACAUUUCCUGCCAUGAAACAAUCACAAGUCAUUAGUUACUGUAUGGCAGUAAAGAUAUGGGGGUUACUGUA